GCAAACUUGGUCAUUUAGAGGAAGUAAAAGUCGUAACAAGGUCUCCGUUGGUGAACCAGCGGAGGGAUCAUUAUAGAGUUUUCUAAACUCCCAACCCAUGUGAACUUACCUUUUGUUGCCUCGGCAGAGGUUACCUGGUACCUGGAGACAGGUUACCCUGUAGCAACUGCCGGUGGACUACUAAACUCUUGUUAUUUUAUGUAAUCUGAGCGUCUUAUUUUAAUAAGUCAAAACUUUCAACAACGGAUCUCUUGGUUCUGGCAUCGAUGAAGAACGCAGC
rnacentral:misc_RNA from 1 species